GGUUAAGCGACUAAGCGUACACGGUGGAUGCCCUGGCAGUCAGAGGCGAUGAAGGACGUGCUAAUCUGCGAUAAGCGUCGGUAAGGUGAUAUGAACCGUUAUAACCGGCGAUUUCCGAAUGGGGAAACCCAGUGUGUUUCGACACACUAUCAUUAACUGAAUCCAUAGGUUAAUGAGGCGAACCGGGGGAACUGAAACAUCUAAGUACCCCGAGGAAAAGAAAUCAACCGAGAUUCCCCCAGUAGCGGCGAGCGAACGGGGAGCAGCCCAGAGCCUGAAUCAGUGUGUGUGUUAGUGGAAGCGUCUGGAAAGGCGCGCGAUACAGGGUGACAGCCCCGUACACAAAAAUGCACAUGCUGUGAGCUCGAUGAGUAGGGCGGGACACGUGGUAUCCUGUCUGAAUAUGGGGGGACCAUCCUCCAAGGCUAAAUACUCCUGACUGACCGAUAGUGAACCAGUACCGUGAGGGAAAGGCGAAAAGAACCCCGGCGAGGGGAGUGAAAAAGAACCUGAAACCGUGUACGUACAAGCAGUGGGAGCACGCUUAGGCGUGUGACUGCGUACCUUUUGUAUAAUGGGUCAGCGACUUAUAUUCUGUAGCAAGGUUAACCGAAUAGGGGAGCCGAAGGGAAACCGAGUCUUAACUGGGCGUUAAGUUGCAGGGUAUAGACCCGAAACCCGGUGAUCUAGCCAUGGGCAGGUUGAAGGUUGGGUAACACUAACUGGAGGACCGAACCGACUAAUGUUGAAAAAUUAGCGGAUGACUUGUGGCUGGGGGUGAAAGGCCAAUCAAACCGGGAGAUAGCUGGUUCUCCCCGAAAGCUAUUUAGGUAGCGCCUCGUGAACUCAUCUCCGGGGGUAGAGCACUGUUUCGGCAAGGGGGUCAUCCCGACUUACCAACCCGAUGCAAACUGCGAAUACCGGAGAAUGUUAUCACGGGAGACACACGGCGGGUGCUAACGUCCGUCGUGAAGAGGGAAACAACCCAGACCGCCAGCUAAGGUCCCAAAGUCAUGGUUAAGUGGGAAACGAUGUGGGAAGGCCCAGACAGCCAGGAUGUUGGCUUAGAAGCAGCCAUCAUUUAAAGAAAGCGUAAUAGCUCACUGGUCGAGUCGGCCUGCGCGGAAGAUGUAACGGGGCUAAACCAUGCACCGAAGCUGCGGCAGCGACGCUGAUGCGUUGUUGGGUAGGGGAGCGUUCUGUAAGCCUGCGAAGGUGUGCUGUGAGGCAUGCUGGAGGUAUCAGAAGUGCGAAUGCUGACAUAAGUAACGAUAAAGCGGGUGAAAAGCCCGCUCGCCGGAAGACCAAGGGUUCCUGUCCAACGUUAAUCGGGGCAGGGUGAGUCGACCCCUAAGGCGAGGCCGAAAGGCGUAGUCGAUGGGAAACAGGUUAAUAUUCCUGUACUUGGUGUUACUGCGAAGGGGGGACGGAGAAGGCUAUGUUGGCCGGGCGACGGUUGUCCCGGUUUAAGCGUGUAGGCUGGUUUUCCAGGCAAAUCCGGAAAAUCAAGGCUGAGGCGUGAUGACGAGGCACUACGGUGCUGAAGCAACAAAUGCCCUGCUUCCAGGAAAAGCCUCUAAGCAUCAGGUAACAUCAAAUCGUACCCCAAACCGACACAGGUGGUCAGGUAGAGAAUACCAAGGCGCUUGAGAGAACUCGGGUGAAGGAACUAGGCAAAAUGGUGCCGUAACUUCGGGAGAAGGCACGCUGAUAUGUAGGUGAAGUCCCUCGCGGAUGGAGCUGAAAUCAGUCGAAGAUACCAGCUGGCUGCAACUGUUUAUUAAAAACACAGCACUGUGCAAACACGAAAGUGGACGUAUACGGUGUGACGCCUGCCCGGUGCCGGAAGGUUAAUUGAUGGGGUUAGCGCAAGCGAAGCUCUUGAUCGAAGCCCCGGUAAACGGCGGCCGUAACUAUAACGGUCCUAAGGUAGCGAAAUUCCUUGUCGGGUAAGUUCCGACCUGCACGAAUGGCGUAAUGAUGGCCAGGCUGUCUCCACCCGAGACUCAGUGAAAUUGAACUCGCUGUGAAGAUGCAGUGUACCCGCGGCAAGACGGAAAGACCCCGUGAACCUUUACUAUAGCUUGACACUGAACAUUGAGCCUUGAUGUGUAGGAUAGGUGGGAGGCUUUGAAGUGUGGACGCCAGUCUGCAUGGAGCCGACCUUGAAAUACCACCCUUUAAUGUUUGAUGUUCUAACGUUGACCCGUAAUCCGGGUUGCGGACAGUGUCUGGUGGGUAGUUUGACUGGGGCGGUCUCCUCCUAAAGAGUAACGGAGGAGCACGAAGGUUGGCUAAUCCUGGUCGGACAUCAGGAGGUUAGUGCAAUGGCAUAAGCCAGCUUGACUGCGAGCGUGACGGCGCGAGCAGGUGCGAAAGCAGGUCAUAGUGAUCCGGUGGUUCUGAAUGGAAGGGCCAUCGCUCAACGGAUAAAAGGUACUCCGGGGAUAACAGGCUGAUACCGCCCAAGAGUUCAUAUCGACGGCGGUGUUUGGCACCUCGAUGUCGGCUCAUCACAUCCUGGGGCUGAAGUAGGUCCCAAGGGUAUGGCUGUUCGCCAUUUAAAGUGGUACGCGAGCUGGGUUUAGAACGUCGUGAGACAGUUCGGUCCCUAUCUGCCGUGGGCGCUGGAGAACUGAGGGGGGCUGCUCCUAGUACGAGAGGACCGGAGUGGACGCAUCACUGGUGUUCGGGUUGUCAUGCCAAUGGCACUGCCCGGUAGCUAAAUGCGGAAGAGAUAAGUGCUGAAAGCAUCUAAGCACGAAACUUGCCCCGAGAUGAGUUCUCCCUGACUCCUUGAGAGUCCUGAAGGAACGUUGAAGACGACGACGUUGAUAGGCCGGGUGUGUAAGCGCAGCGAUGCGUUGAGCUAACCGGUACUAAUGAACCGUGAGGCUUAACCUU
rnacentral:rRNA from 1 species